AUUGUAUCCACGAUUGGGGAAUUUUCCGCAAUGGGCGAAAGCCUGACGGAGCAAUACCGCGUGAGGGAGGAAGGCUCUUGGGUUGUAAACCUCUUUUCUCAGGGAAGAACAAAAUGACGGUACCUGAGGAAUAAGCAUCGGCUAACUCCGUGCCAGCAGCCGCGGUAAUACGGAGGAUGCAAGCGUUAUCCGGAAUGAUUGGGCGUAAAGCGUCCGCAGGUGGCUUAUCAAGUCGAUUGUCAAAGGUCCUGGCUCAACUGGGAAGAGGCAGUGGAAACUGAAAAGCUAGAGUGCGGUAGGGGUAGAGGGAAUUCCCGGUGUAGCGGUGAAAUGCGUAGAGAUCGGGAAGAACACCAGUGGCGAAAGCGCUCUACUAGGCCUGCACUGACACUCAUGGACGAAAGCUAGGGGAGCGAAUGGGAUUAGAUACCCCAGUAGUCAAUCGUGGAUACAAU
rnacentral:rRNA from 1 species